UCCUAUUAAACCUGGUUCUUCUUGAGAAGAGAGAACUGUGCUGUGUUCAUUGUGGAAUACUGCACAAUUCACCCAGGGCCUAACUCGAAUUAGCUAGCCCUGGGAAAGACAGUCCCUCCAGAGUUAGCAACACCCCAAGAUGUCAAAGAUAAAAAUGCAAAAAUUAAAACUCCAUGAUUAACACAACUUUGAAGUCCUUCUCACUUGUCUUUAGAUGAAGGAGACAUAAAAGGCACACAAUGAAAUCUUAAUAAAUGUAUUGGAUGUUGCAGCAUUAACUGAUGAGCCAGACAAUGUAAAGACCUCAGACUACCAAAUGUUUUGAAAGACGAAUAGUGAAUGUGAAACUGUGAACCAAAAUAGAUUUUUAGAAUCCUUGAAAAAAUAGAGCUAGAGAAAGUCUUUGAGACCAUUGAUUGCAAAUAUUUGAGUUUACAACUGAGCAAAUGGAGAAAAGAGAAGUGACUCGUCAGUCCAACAAGUGGCAGAAUCAGAACCAGACCCCAAUGCUUGGGUCUUCUGUCCCUCCUGGCACCAAAGUCACCUAUCAUAAGUAACUUGAGUUUCAGAGGGGAAGGAAAAGACUACAAUGUCCCAGCACUGUUCCAGACACUUUUUAGGGGACUCCAAGACACCUUGUGUAAUGCCUAUUUUAAGUAGCUGGAAGAUUCUAUAGCAUGGGAAAAGCCCACUGAAGGCAAAAGUAAACAUUACCUAUUGUGGUCCUGGAAAAGAAAAUCAUCUCUCAUUUAUCUCCUGGAGCUGUUUGACGAACUUGUGCCCUGGUUUUACUUUGGGAGCCACCUUUCUCUUUCAGGUGCUGUCUCAGUGGAAUAGUCAACCAAUGUAUCCUACAUUUUGGACCAGCAGAAGGAAGUAAUGAGAACAGAAAACAAAUAAGAAUCUGCAUCUGCUCCUGUAUGGAAACCUCUCAAAGGCUUUCAGAGCUGUGACUGGACAGGAGAGAAGGGGUGGACAUCAUCUUCUGGGAAUUCAAGUAAGAACUGCUCUUUGGGACCCUUAACUGCAAUCAGAGAAAGAUUGUAACAUGUAGAAAGGAGCUUACAAGACAAAACAACAACAACAACAACACUCUUAUCCAAAAAGAGACCUUCAUUGCCAUCAUCCCUGAAGGCAUUUUUCCAGCUCCUCCUUGAAUACUUUCAGUGUUGAGCCAUUCAUUGUGUCCAGUGGUAGUCAACUCCAAUUUUGGAUGCACUAAAACCUUCUUCUGAAUACUGAAUAAGUCUGCCUCUCUACCAUUUGCCUCUGUUAAUCUAAAUAUACAAACUUCAAAUGGAAACUUUCUCAAUUGUCCCAAGUAUUUAUCUGAUUCUUCUAUGUGUCCCA
rnacentral:lncRNA from 10 species